rnacentral:rRNA from 1 species
CCUUACCCACCUUUGACAUGUACGGAAUCCUUUAGAGAUAGAGGAGUGCUCGAAAGAGAGCCGUAACACAGGUGCUGCAUGGCUGUCGUCAGCUCGUGUCGUGAGAUGUUGGGUUAAGUCCCGCAACGAGCGCAACCCUUGCCAUUAGUUGCUACGAAAGGGCACUCUAAUGGGACUGCCGGUGACAAACCGGAGGAAGGUGGGGAUGACGUCAAGUCCUCAUGGC